UACGUAGGGUGCAAGCGUUAAUCGGAAUUACUGGGCGUAAAGCGUGCGCAGGCGGUUUCUUAAGUCAGAUGUGAAAGCCCCGGGCUUAACCUGGGAACUGCGUUUGAAACUGGGAGACUUGAGUGUGGCAGAGGGGGGUGGAAUUCCACGUGUAGCAGUGAAAUGCGUAGAUAUGUGGAGGAACACCAAUGGCGAAGGCAGCCCCCUGGGUCAACACUGACGCUCAUGCACGAAAGCGUGGGGAGCAAACAGG
rnacentral:rRNA from 1 species